GAUGAAGACGUAGCGAAAUGCGAUACGUAAUGUGAAUUGCAGAUUUCAGUGAAUCAUCGAAUCUUUGAACGCACAUUGCGCCCGCCAGUAUUCUGGCGGGCAUGCCUGUUCGAGCGUCAUUUCAACCAUCAAGCCUUCGCUUGUGUUGGGGCCCCGCGGCUGCCGCGGUCCCCUAAAUCCAGUGGCGGGCUCGUCGUCGUACCGAGCGCAGUAGACAUCCUCGCUCCGGGAACCCGACGGGUGCCGGCCGUGAAACCCCCCACAUCAAGGUUGACCUCGGAUCAGGUAGGAAUACCCGCUGAACUUAAGCAUAUCAAUAAGCGGAGGA
rnacentral:misc_RNA from 1 species